rnacentral:ncRNA from 1 species
CUUAUCAAGAGCUGCUGAGGGAUCGGCCCGAUGAAGCACGGCAACCUGCGGAUAGCCGCAAGGUGCCAAUUCCGACGAUCAGUUUUCUGGUCGAUAGAUGAGG